ACACAUGCAAGUCGAACGGCAGCACAGAAAGAGCUUGCUCUUUGGGUGGCGAGUGGCGGACGGGUGAGUAAUGUCUGGGAAACUGCCCGAUGGAGGGGGAUAACUACUGGAAACGGUAGCUAAUACCGCAUAACGUCGCAAGACCAAAGUGGGGGACCUUCGGGCCUCACACCAUCGGAUGUGCCCAGAUGGGAUUAGCUAGUAGGUGGGGUAAUGGCUCACCUAGGCGACGAUCCCUAGCUGGUCUGAGAGGAUGACCAGCCACACUGGAACUGAGACACGGUCCAGACUCCUACGGGAGGCAGCAGUGGGGAAUAUUGCACAAUGGGCGCAAGCCUGAUGCAGCCAUGCCGCGUGUAUGAAGAAGGCCUUCGGGUUGUAAAGUACUUUCAGCGGGGAGGAAGGCGGUGAGGUUAAUAACCUCGCCGAUUGACGUUACCCGCAGAAGAAGCACCGGCUAACUCCGUGCCAGCAGCCGCGGUAAUACGGAGGGUGCAAGCGUUAAUCGGAAUUACUGGGCGUAAAGCGCACGCAGGCGGUCUGUUAAGUCAGAUGUGAAAUCCCCGGGCUUAACCUGGGAACUGCAUUUGAAACUGGCAGGCUUGAGUCUCGUAGAGGGGGGUAGAAUUCCAGGUGUAGCGGUGAAAUGCGUA
rnacentral:rRNA from 1 species